UACGGGGGGGGCGAGCGUUGUUCGGAAUCAUUGGGCGUAAAGGGUGCGUAGGUGGUGCUGUAAGUCUGACGUGAAAUCUCUGGGCUUAACCCAGAAUCCGCGCCAGGAACUGCAGUGCUAGAGUGUGGGAGAGGAGAGUGGAAUUCCCGGUGUAGCGGUGAAAUGCGUAGAUAUCGGGAGGAACCCCCGGGGCGAAGGCGGCUCUCUGGACCACAACUGACACUGAGGCACGAAAGCCGGGGGAGCAAACAGG
rnacentral:rRNA from 1 species